UUAAUACUCCCUCCGUCGAACAAAAGAUGUCUCAAAUUUGUCAAAAUUUAGAUAUAUCUAAACAUGACCUAGUGUAUAGAUGCAUUCAAAUCUAGUCAAAGUUAAGAUAUCCGUUGUUGGACGGAAAAAGUAUAUA
rfam:Brachypodium distachyon strain Bd21 chromosome 3, whole genome shotgun sequence.